rnacentral:lncRNA from 10 species
CCCUGCCUGUGUAAACACCAUGACUCUGGGUUCUGCUCAGCAGACUGAAGGGAACACAACUAUGAUGAUUCUCUAUGCUGUACUUGGAGAAGGCUGGUUAGUCAUAAGUUUUAAAGCAGGGAGACCAUGAUGAUGACAUUUGGAAGCAUCUCAGGAGACAAGAAUAAAACGCCAUUUUUUUUCCCACUUCGCUAACAACUCAGUGUUCUGAAAAGUCUGGAAUGUGCUAUGAAAAGUUUGUGUGCUUAGUGAAAUGUUGUACAAUUGGCCAAUCCACUAAGUCUUGGGAAAUGUCUUAGGAGCUUGGCAAGAAGAAGUUCUCAAGAGAGCCUGAAUGCUGCCAGUUUCCAAUUGGCCAAGACACAUUACAAGGACAACUGUCUCUCUGAGCAACCUGGCAUUUCCACUCCAAUUGGAAUCUGCAAGGGGAAGAUGCGCAGGGGAAGAAGAUUAAACAAACCUUUUCAGAUUUCUGGUCCAGGUUUUUAGAUCAAAAAGAAUUGUACUCAAGGAAUUGAAGCUAUGGAGCCUCUGCCACAUCUGGACCUGAUUUUGAUGACAAGAUCCUGUACCUCAAGCCCGAGACUAAUUUCAUAAUUUGAUGAAUCUUUUUGGAGAGUCAUGGGAGGAAUGUAAACAAUUUGUGGCCAAAGGAGAAUUAUGGUAGUUUGAAGAUGUGGAUACAAAUUAUUUGACAUUCUUCUCAUAGAAAGGUAACUCCAUAGCUGGGAGCCAAGUCUCGAAGCCCCAUGAGGGGAAGUGGAUACAUCUCAGAAUUGGGUUUCCUGAUACACACGACUGCAUCCUUCAUCUGCCAGGCCCUGGCAUUGUUUACUGGAGAAGAUGUCAUAGGAAAUUGGGCUAUGUCAUUGAGCCACUGGAGUCACACAUGAACAGCCAUUUGGAGAUUCUGGAAUUGAUGGUUCAGUUUAGGUAAACUGUAUGAUGUAGUGAAACAAUGUUGCCUGGAAUUCCUGAAGAGAAGACCAAUCACUAAAAUUUGAGACUACUGCACAAUUCUGAUAUCUGAAUCAUUUCCAUAGAUAGAUUUUGGUUAAAGCACCUGUGUAUAUUCUGUCAUUAUUAAUUUGUGUCUGCUUUUUUACGGUUUCUAAAAUCAUGUUUUUAAAUUUUACAAACUCAGGUAAAUAAAAUAAAACCACCCAUAAUCCUAUCACCUUAACACAGCCUUGGCCAAUAGUUUUUUUGUUAUAUAUAUUUUUAAGUCUUUUUUUCUAUUCACUCUUUUAAUUUACCUGUAGCCAUUGUG